AUUAUUCUAUUCUGAGCACUGAAUUAGGGUGUCUGGUAUUUCAGUCACUGCCUAAAAUCUCUGAUGAAGAGGACUAGAAAAUACAUUAUUCAGAUUGUUCAAGAUUUAACAUGGAGAUAAGAAUUUGCUACAAGAAAUCAUGGCCAUAGGAAAAGCCUGGCUAUUCAAACAGCAUAUAUAAGUAUAUGGAGGCAUAAAACUACAUCACAUACAUAAAGUAUCAUUUACCCCCAAGCAUAUUACCAACUGCAUAUACAGGAAUGACUUCAUUCACCAUUGAAGUGCAGCCACUUCUAGGAUGGAAUGCUGCAGCUAUUUAACAACAUACUGUGUACAGCAACACUAGACAACAGCGUAGGCAAAGAUUCAAAAAAGAAUGUGUACAAUUGAAACAAGGAAAUUGCAUGUAGUAGUGACUGGUACUUUAGCACUUUUCUUUAAACUGACCUCUACUCACUUUACAAAUGGUGGGUUUUACAAUUGUGGAAAUGGAAAGUUAUUUAAAGUGACUUGGUAAUGUCAGUGAGUCACUGACUAUAUAAUCUAAGUCCUCUGCUCUAUGCACUUUAAAACACCGCCUGCUUAAGCAGGCAGUACAAUUAUACAAACUGGAAUUUGGCUACAAGUAGAGUCACUGUACUGUUGUGGAAUUUUUCAUCACAAAUGGUCAGCGGACAUUGGUUUUAUGCCUUAGCCAGAAGAAAGUAACUCUCACAGCACAAUGCUCGAACAAAGCGAAGGGUGCCAUCCCCAUCAUCUCACCAGCCUGUUACACAUUAGGUCACAGUGGAAUUCUAUCUAAAUAUUGAUAAGGCCUGAUUUUCCUUAGUCUGCGAGAUCUCUCAUGAAGGGUCAGAAUCCAUUAGCUAUGGAUGUAAGAUCUUAACUCCAGUUUCUGCUAAGAACCUUUCAAUAUAGGCCCAGAGUCCAGACCUUGGCUUGGAUUAUGGGGGUUGGCUAAUAGAGAACAGAUAACCUUGUGUGUUUCAAGUCAGUGAGCGGAGUUAGCAUAACUCCGAAUAUAAUUGGGCGUCCUUAUCUUGAGUUAUAGACACAUGAAGCGAUGAGAAAGGCCUCACAGUUACUCCCUAAUGCAGGGAGGAGAUAGUGAUACAAUACCCCUCAGAUGCUAGACAAAGUUCGGGGAGAGGCCUAACAUGAUUGACAUAAGUUAUGACACCCUCCCCUCACAGAUGUAUGCCAGUCCUAGCCCACAGAAAUGCAAGGGUAAACUUGUGAAAUUAAGUACUAAUUACUGCUUUUUUGCUUUAAAUCUCUAGGUAUGUACCUGUUGGUCAACCAAGAGAGCUGCUACCUCAUUCCCCUGGACCCUAAAAUUAGGAUUUAACCUAUAUACUUUAAUAGACAUAGUUUGGGGAUAAUUACCUGUGUGUCAGCAAUAUGUUAAUUUGGUCCAUGGGCGGAACCAUUAUGUAAUCUUUUAGACCAGUGUUUCCCAAACUUGGGACGCCGCUUGUGUAGGGAAAGCCCCUGGCGGGCCGGGACGGUUUGUUUACCUGCUGCGUCCGCAGGUUCGGCCAGUACGUCCCUCGGCCCGCGCUGCUUCCGGCAGCUCCCAUUGGCCUGGAGUGGCUUAUUGUGCUUAUCUUGUCUUGCUGUUAGAACCUAUCCAGGGGUUUGGGAAAACCCAUCCCUGUCGCUUCUCUCCACCCAAUGAGCACCAUAUAUAAUCUAUUAUAACUAAUUGUUUUGCAGUGUCUCUGAGCCUAAUAAGCAAAGUGACACUCUGCCAGUGCUGUGCGUAAUAAACUCCUGUGCUUGACUCUACAGAGUGUGGAUUAUUGUUCCUUCAAUCAAGACUAUAUCCCAAGGUGUCAUGGGUGCAAACAGUUUAAACUAUGAAAGUAGUUUUUAAUUCUACAAAGUGAAGGCACUGCAAACCAGUUAAUUCUUUUACAAAGCAAACUUACUGUUAUUUUUCUCACUCCCCUUAGCUUGUCAACAUUUGGCGGUAGUCACUGAAUUGUGAGCAUUCCCUACACUGAUUUUGGGAUCCCAUGCAUCGAAGUUAAAUAAGAUACCACCUAAUCUUGGAAAAUUAGUUAUUAAUAGCUCACUAUUACCACUGUUCUCUUGAUGUUGAAGCAACUUCUCUAUAAACAGGAGCAUUGCAUCUGAAACUCAACUGGCUAGUGACCAAUGAUUGUCCAGGCAUUGGAUAAGAAUUUGACUCUCAAGGUAAAAGAAAUGCUGUGUUUUUCUUUGAAUCCAGUAAACACUAUCAAGUAACCUUGGAGGAAGGAGCUUGGCAUUGAAAACUCAAUGGUAUCAAGUCAGGUCCAUUUGGGGAGUCCCCCACAGCUGGAAAAUGGGCCUAGUUACAUUUGGAUGAAAAGACCACUCAUGGUGACUUGUGAAUGACCAACUUAGGUGAUCUACCAGAGCAUUCUGAACCCCUAGAAGAACAUGGCUGCUGUGUUGUCUGCAAGCACCGACCCUGAAUAAGCAUAAAAUCCAAAUGGAUGGCCUGAAGCUCCCUGACAUUUAGAUCUUGCACAGACUUGGGUCUAUAAAGGACUUAAGUGAGCUCCCCAAUCCAGAGCCCAACACGUCUGUGACUAGGGUGUCUCUUGCAGAGAAGCAGUGGGGACCCCCAUGCAAACAUUCAAGGAUUCUGUCCACCAGUCCAAGGAGGACAAGACCUGAGUAGGCACUUGAAUCACCAUCUUCCUAUGAUGGCAGGCCAGUGAAUACACUAAGAUGAACAACCCUGUCUCUGAAGUGCAGCCUGGCAUGCUGCCCACGUAAGUGCACACUGCCAUGUACUCUUGAAGCUUGAGGCAGUUUUGUACUCUAGUGACAGGAUGUGUCUUUGUAUCUAGAGCAAAAACACACAUUGUUUGGAAUCUCAACCCCAGCAGGAAAGCUUUGCCCUUCGUAGAAUCCAGGACAGCCCCAUUAAAUCCUGUUCUCUGAAGAGGAGACAGGGUAGAUUUCGCCCUAUUGAGCAGAGGUCACAGUGUGUCAAAGGUGGUCUGAGUCCUGGACUCAGUGCAUCUGAGACCUGGAAAAACCUAAAAUGUACAAAACAGGUGCUAUUUACACUAAAGAGGGUAUGACUAGCAAAUGCAAAGACAGCAACUCCAACAACAGUCAUGGGCAGUAGGAAGGUACUGAGUCAUUGGGGGUGGCGCCAUCCUUCAUACUUGGGCACAGUGGUGCAAGGCAGCACAGGGCACUUGUGCUGCCCUGAGAAGUACUAGAGAGGGGAAAAUCUCUGACAACUGUGCAAGAGGGAUGCACACACCUACAGUGGAAUGGACCUAUGUAAUUACUUGAAGAAGCAGCUUUAGAUACAAGGUAGCUAGGAAUAGUCUAUAAUUUAAUGUUGCCAUAAGUUCAUAAUCAAAUAAGUGUUAAAGCCUAGAAAACUAAGAAAGAAUAAAACGGAUUACAAAUCAAAAUUAUAAAAAGGCUGUAUAUACAAUCUCACUUCUUUACCUAGAUCAUUUGGUGCAGGAAUAGCUGUUCCACCAGGAGCAAAAGGAUCAUUGUUCUUCAGUGUUUCUGUCUAAAAACGAGAAAAUUCCUUUGACGAAGACUUGUUUUCUGCAGCUUGAAAAAUAAUCCCAACAACAUUUCCCUAUCCCAUCUCUAGCAAAAAAUUUAGCUUCACCUCAAGACAAAAGAUCAUGUUUGUUGAUCAAUGCUAUCAUUGUCAAUUUUUAUUUUGUAAGAUGAAAUGUUAACAUUCAUAUAGCACCUUUAUGCAGAUUGCAUAAGUGGCUAAGCAUCACAACAUGGUAACAGUUAUGAUCUUUGUUUUACAGAUGGACACAGGCAAAGAGGUUAAAUGGCAAAGAUCAUAUAGCAAGUCUGUGCCAAAAAGUGGGAACAGAACCUAGAUCUCCUGAUUCCCACUCCUCUCUGUUAAAAGCACCUGACUAAUGCUUCCUCUAGAAGAGAACUCAUGAGUUGGAUUUCCAAUCCGUGAUUCUAGCCACUAGACCAUGUUGUUUGUAAAACCCUGAUUUAUGACUCUGGUGGGCAGGAAGCAGAAACUUAAAAUUUUGUAUGUCAUGUUUUUAAAUAACUGAAAGUUUUGGUUCUCUGAGGCACCUCUAGCUCCAUAGGAGGCACUAUGUUCCCACAAAAUUUAGGAGAGCUUCUGCUGCCUACAUACCACAGGAAUGGACUUGUGGACCAUGCAAUGCCAAGUACAUAAGUGACCUUUAGUUUAUCUAGCAGUUUCAAUUAACUGAAAUUUGCAGUAGAGGUGUUUCAGGAUUUUUAGCAAAGUUUAUUUAAUUUUUUUAGGGGAGUUAUUUUCCAAAAAAUGUAGAACUAAGGAAUGAAAUCUUAUUAAUAUUUUACAUCAUUUCAUAUGCUUCUCCCAAUAUCCACUAUUUUCUAGUAGAAAUUUGACUAGGAAUAGCAUUUAACAGAGGGCUGUACGUGCAGAGUUAAAAAGCCACUAAACUAUUUUCCAGUGGAAAUUAAUACAUACAAGCAAAAAAUCCAUGCACUACCCAAAAUACCCAGUACUUCAUGUAUUUGAGUGUAUCCAAAUAUACAAGAUCAUCUCAUUUUGAACAAACUAUUAGUACAUCUCUCCUUUCCUCCCAUCAAACUUACUGUGGGAUUAUUGCUGUUGCCUGUUGUGCUGAAAGGGUCAGUGUCCACAGUCACAAAAGGAUCAGUGGAGGAUUGUUUGAAAAAAGUGUCAGCUGCAAAAGGAUCUGAAUCUU